rfam:Thermosipho africanus TCF52B, complete genome.
GUCAACUACCCACCGCUUAUAGAAGCGGAGGCUUGUAAAAAGCCUUAGUUGACUACUCUCAGCCACCAGCAAUACGCUGACGGGGCUACGUUAGACAGGUUAUGACACCCUGGGAUGCUGCUCAAGUUCCAGGCUCUGUCGUGUGGGUCUAAACAGUCCUGAGGGGUAGGGACAGUGACUUGCACAUAACAAGCCUGUCUAACAUUGAGGAUGAGCACCUAAC